rnacentral:rRNA from 1 species
CGGACGGGUGAGUAAUGUCUGGGGAACUGCCUGAUGGAGGGGGAUAACUACUGGAAACGGUAGCUAAUACCGCAUAACGUCGCAAGACCAAAGAGGGGGACCUUCGGGCCUCUUGCCAUCAGAUGUGCCCAGAUGGGAUUAGCUAGUAGGUGGGGUAACGGCUCACCUAGGCGACGAUCCCUAGCUGGUCUGAGAGGAUGACCAGCCACACUGGAACUGAGACACGGUCCAG